rnacentral:rRNA from 1 species
AUUGAACGCUGGCGGCAGGCCUAACACAUGCAAGUCGAACGGUAACAGGUGUAGCAAUACAUGCUGACGAGUGGCGCACGGGUGCGUAACACGUAUGCAACUUACCUCUAACUGGGGAAUAGCUUCGAGAAAUCGAAAUUAAUGUCCCAUAAUAAUUUGAUCAGGCAUCUGGUUAAAUUUAAAACUCCGGUGGUUAGAGAUAGGCAUGCGUCCUAUUAGCUUGCUGGUGAGGUAACGGCUCACCAAGGCUACGAUAGGUAGGGGGCCUGAGAGGGUAAUCCCCCACACUGGUACUGAGACACGGACCAGACUCCUACGGGAGGCAGCAGUGAGGAAUAUUGGUCAAUGGUCGCAAGACUGAACCAGCCAUGCCGCGUGCAGGAUGAAGGCCCUAUGGGUUGUAAACUGCUUUUAUCUGGGAAUAAACCCCUUUACGUGUAAAGGGCUGAAGGUACCAGAUGAAUAAGGACCGGCUAACUUCGUGCCAGCCGCCGCGGUAAAAC